rnacentral:tRNA from 5 species
GCCCGAAUGGCGAAAUUGGUAGACGCAUGGGACUUAAAAUCCCCCGUUCGUAAGGACGUGCCGGUUCGACCCCGGCUUCGGGCACCA